AAGGAUCAUUAUUGAAUUUGGGUUUCCAUAUUCUUACACCUGUGCACUUUUUGUAGGCCAUUUAUUUGGUCUAUGUCUUUUUUAUAAUAACACAACUUUGUAAAUGUGAAUGGAAAUGGGAUAAAUAAUACAACUUUCAACAACGGAUCUCUUGGCUCUCGCAUCGAUGAAGAACGCAGCGAAAUGCGAUAAGUAAUGUGAAUUGCAGAAUUCAGUGAAUCAUCAAAUCUUUGAACGCACCUUGCGCUCCUUGGUAUUCCGAGGAGCAUGCCUGUUUGAGUGUCAUUAAAUUCUCAAAAGUCUUUCUUUAGACCUUUUGGACUUGGAGUGUUUGCUGGCUUUUUAUCAAAGUCAGCUCCUCUUAAAUGCAUUAGCUUGUGCUCUGUGGAUCAGGCUUUGGUUUGAUAGUAUCUAUGCCAUCGCUUUUGAAACAAAUAGUCAGCUUCUAACAAA
rnacentral:rRNA from 1 species